UCCGGAACCGAACGCACACGUUACUCCCGCGGACAUUGUCCGCGCAAGCGCGACAGUUCCCCCUCACUCUCUCUCGCUUCAUCGUUUUAUUUGGUCUUUCUCUCUCUCUCUCUUUCUAGACUGGCAGACCGGAGGUUACUUGGACGCGGCCGCAACACACAUGCCAAAUCGGGGGAACAACGUAGCUGGUUGCCCCCCUAUAGGUCGUGUCUCGGGUGUCUCCGGCUAAACCCUUUCGGCGCGUCGAUGUGACCGAUUUUGACGUCAAACUUCGCUCGAUUCUGGCAUUUUCGCUCCAAUUAGUUCGCUCCCACGCGCGUAAUCGAGUUCCCGAGAAGGCGAGAUUCCUGCGAAUGUCUUUGGAAGGACCUAGUUUUUUGCCGACCAGGGACAGGAUUUUCAGAUCUGUCAAAACGACAAAUACCCUUUGGGAAUCCCCAAAAGAAACAACCGACAGCGCGCUAAAUUCCAGGAUCCAGACAGGGAAAAAACUACCGAAUGCCUGCUCUGGUGACUAGGCCCUUUACCAAGAACGCUGCCUAAUGUUCCGUGCUUUCGAUUCGUUUUCCCGCAAGCCACAAAAUACGAGAAAGUUACGGCACUCACACGCCAAAAGUCUGAUAAGCGCACCGACACCCCCACCAUACGGCCGUUCAUUAGACGCUUAUCGGGGAGUCGGGGACUUUAUCCAACUUUAUUACCAUCGAUCGUCACGAUACGGCAGCAACAAAUAUGGAGCAGUCGAGAGUGCGCAAAUCUGCCCCGCUGAGCGGCUUGUCGUCAUCCGCAGGUUUACGUCGAACGUCGGUCCUUGGCCGUGCCGUUAACUCAUCCCUGACGCCCCUCCCCAGGGCGAGGAAAAUCUGCGGAAAAUCUUUUCCACGCACCACGCACCACUAACGUUUCAUUUCGCCGACGUUAAUUUGGCAUCGCGUUAAUGAGUGAAUGGGAUAUCGGCUAAAUGAAUUACGUAUUUAUGAUGGCAGGCUGGCGGGCCUGUCGGCGGCAGCGACGGAACGAAAUGGCGGCGGCAGGUUUUCCUGUUUCGCAUUGUUUCGCGUACCUCCGGGAGCAUCCGGGAUCCGCCACCGAAUUCCGGUCGCGACGUAAUUGUGCGGCCGCGGCAGCGGAAUGGCGGUCGCUUGUCAAACGCUGACAGCGGUUGCAAACGAAAAUAUAUGACCAUUUAACAGCUGUGCACUGCGACACUGCCGGUGGUGGUGCCUGCGUGCGCGCGGAAUGGCGGCCGACACCGCCACUUACACGUCGCGCAAAUGAUUUCCUGCCGCACGGGACCGGGAAUUGGAACGGAAUCGACGAAGUCAUGAAGUCACCGGGCCGGUGGUCGGUCGGCGCACUCGGAUCGGCCACACACACUACGGACUACGGUUUGAAUCCGCAAUUUGCAAAUGAAAUGUUAAUA